rnacentral:snRNA from 1 species
GUACUGGCUUUAGCAGCACACAGACUGUGGUUGUAACAAUACAGAGAAAGUUAACUCAGCCCCUGUUGCAAGGGUGACAUGAAAAUUUGUAAAAUGUUACACACUUCU